rnacentral:rRNA from 1 species
GUGCCAGCAGCCGCGGUAAUACGAAGGGUGCUAGCGUUAUUCGGAAUGAUUGGGCGUAAAGGGUGCGCAGACGGUAUGUUAAGUCAACUGUUAAAAACUCCAGCUCAACUGGGGAUAUGCGGUAGAUACUGGCGUACUAGAGGGUGGAAGAGAGAAGUGGAAUUCUCGGAGUAGCGGUAAAAUGCGUAGAUCUCGAGAGGAACACCGAUGGCGAAGGCAGCUUCUUGGUCCACUACUGACGUUCAUGCACGAAAGCGUGGGGAGCAAACAGGAUUAGAAACCCGCGUAGUCC